GGGGAUUUAGCUCAGUGGCCUAAGCACCUGCAUUGCAAGCAGGCAGUUGUGGGUUCGAUCCCUGUUAUCGAUA
rfam:Cavia porcellus supercont2_279 genomic scaffold, whole genome shotgun sequence.